GAGGGCUUAUGCAUCUCUACGGCCCUAAAUGAAAAGAAGAUGGAUCCCAAAAUUUGGAGGGGAAAUUGUCUCUUUCAGUUUCUUGGACCAACGUGAAAGAGGACUGUCCGCCUGCAAAUUUUAGUAUCCACUUUUCACUUGCGGAGGUUGCAGUUUCUGAUAACAGGAGCUGAGUGCUCAUAAUUAAUGGAACCUGGGGGCUCGGAGCUGAUUGCAGAUGUGCAGCAUGGAAGUAGCUAAAUGUAUGACCUGUUCCCGCCACUCUCACUUGCAUGGAGGAGCAAGAGCAGUUAACCCAAGGCUUGAAAUAGUGUUUCUCAAACCUUGGCAUACAUUGGAAUUGCCUGUUGGGGAUGUCAAAAAUCUCUUUCUUUCUCUCUCUCUGAAUGCCUGAUUUAGCAGAUCUGAAGUGAGGCCUGAGGAUUUUCAUUUUUAGCAAGUUCCCAAGAGAUAUUGAUGCUGCUGACUGGGGGACCCAACUUUUAGUACCACUGGCAUGGAGUGUGAUGUUUGGGCUGAAGAGGCCAGGCAAUGGCCAUUGUAUUAGUCUGUUCUCACAUUGCUAUAAAACACUAUCUGAGAAUGGGUAAUUUAUUAAGAAAAGAGGUUUAAUUCUCUCAUAGUUCCACAGGCUGUACAGGAAGCAUGGCUGCGGAUGCCUUAGGAAAUUUACAAUAAUGACAGAAGGCAAAGGGAAAGCAGGCACAUCCCACAUAUCUGGAGCAGGAGGAAGACAGAGGAAAGGAGGAAGGGCUACACACUUGUAAACAACCAGAUCUUGUGGAAACUCACUCACUAUCAUGGGAACAGCAAGGAGGAAGUCUGCCCCCAUGAUUCAAUCACCUCCCACUGGGCCCCUCCUCCAACAAUGGGGAUCGCUAUUGAACAUGAGAUUUGGGUGGGGGUGCAGGGCCAAACCAUAUCAUCCAUGGUAACUUUUGCAUAGGCUACUACACCAAAGCUGCUGGGAAGACUAGCAAGCAGCUUUGGUGUAGUGGCCUGUAAUUUAGUGCUUUAAAAUUUUAGUCUCUGUGACACUUUCGGUUCACUCCUGUUUCCGUUAGCUCAGAUUUCUAGAAAACAGAGCUUGAAAUAAAAGCAUAUUUGCUAAUAUCUUGUGGAGGAACACCGUCCCAGUGAAGGAAUAGAAGAGUUACAUGGGGUAGGAGGGAGCGCAAAUACAAGGUUGAUAUCCAGGGCAAUAGAUUGCUUGUUCACAUGGAAGUUUUCGGACUACGUCUCAGGGCUAUCCACUAAAACAGUGGUCCCCAACCUUUUUGGCACUUUCAUGGAAGACAAUUUUUCCACAGAUGGGGUGGGGGCGGGAAGAUGGCUUCAGGAUGAAACUCUUCCCCCUCGGAUCAUCAGGCAUUAGAUUCUCAUAAGGAGUGCACAACCUAGAUCCCUAGAAUGCACAGUUCACAAUAGGGUUCCUGCUCUUAUGAGAAUCUAAUUCCACCACUGAUCUGACAGGAGACAGAGCUCAGGUGGUAAUGGUUUAUCAUCUGCAGCUCAACUCCUGCUGUGUGGCCCAGUUUCAAGACGGGUACCAGUCUGUGGCCCAGGGUUGCAGGAUGCCUGCACUGAAAAAAGGAAUAGAGAAAAAAUACAUCUGCACACUCCUGUAUUCUACUGUAAGUGAACUCCCUUACAGGCAUUGAUUUCAUAUGCAUGAGUGAAAAGUAUGUCCUGCAAAUACCCAGUAAAUUCUGUCCUUAGGAAAGCCCUGGGGUGAUAGGUGUGAAGCACUUGGUAGAGUGUGGGACCACAGGCUAAUGGCCACCUGAAGUCAACUAGACCCAUCUAUCUUCACCACCUCUGUCUGCUAUGUGUCUCUUGGGUGCACGGUCCACACACUCUCAGUUGUCAUAAAACUUUUACUAAGUUGUUAUUAGAUAAAGUGUUACGUAGUAAAAACUUUGAUAUUGAUCCCUUUCAGGGGUAUUUCUUAAAAAUGGCAUUGGUUCAAGCUAAUUUAUUAUUGGUAGAAAAAGAAUAAUUCAAAAAUGAUAAUAGCUAUUAUUUAUGAGCCCAUUUAUCUGCCAAGCAUUUUGCUGUAUACUGUCUGUUCAUUGUCUCCUUUAACUCUCACAAGUACCCUAUGAGAGGCUGUAUAUACACAUUUUAUGGAUGAGAACCUGAAGUUUAGAGUACUAAAAUUAUUUGCAAAAGAUCACAAAGCUAGUAAGUGACAGAUCUCUGACUUAAACUCAGAUGUGUCUGACUCCAAAAUCUAUGUGCUUAACCAUUAGACUCGGUUGACUCUCAUGUUUUGGAUUGGGAGAUGCCUAAAUUAUCUAUGCCUGAUUUUACAGAAAUGUGUCAAGUAUAAGCCUUAAAAAAAAGAGA
rnacentral:lncRNA from 10 species